GACAGUGUUCUGCGUGGGCAAUAGGGCGCGGAGCCCAGCUACCCCAGGACUGGGAGCUCGGUGUGAGCCAGCGACCCAGUUCACUCUGGGCGAAGCACGCCGAGGCAGGCCGGGCCCUCGCGGCUGGUCCCGGCGUCCCGCAGCACCAGGGCUUUCCGGUGGGGCAGCGGCGUUAACCUGUGCAGGCCAGCCUGGCUCCGCGACGUGCCGCUGCCUGCCCAUCCGCGCUGACUGCGGGUUCACUCUUCGCCCCCAUGCCCCGUCGGGCCUGCGUUCCCCUGUGCCGCCAGGCUCGGGCAUAGGGGCGUCUCUUCGUUUCUUUUGUGCUUGUUUGAAACCCUCCCCCUUAGCAGGCACCGUCCGAUAGAUGGGCUUGGCCCAGGGGGUAUGCGUUCAGGUUUUGCUUUUUGGGCAGCACCUGGGGAUUAGUGAUGUGUUGUUUAACAGGUAAACAGCGUAAAAGCCGGUGUUUUUCUAAGCGCUGACGGCUUCAGUGUUGCCAAACUUGAUCAGCCGGUGCACUUGAGAUUGCCCUUCUCCGGCAGGUUUGCGUUGUGGAGGAUCGUUUGCCGCUCCUGGUAGCUUUCCUCAGAAACGGCAGAGGUAUGACCUGAGCAGCCACGUACUUCACCCUGCUAGCUCAGGCACUGUUGCUGUGGACCUGUCAGCUCUGCCAUCCAAAGCCUAAGUUUGCUGGGAGACCUCUGGUAAAAUUUUUAACUUCCAAUACUCUGAGAGCAGCAGACAGCAGAGAUGUGCGCUGCUGGAACCCAAAACGUUUCAUAACGUGGCAGCAACUUGCUGAAAGCCCUGCAGAUACAAAACAACACUUAUUUUAAGUCUUGAGAAACAUCUCCUACUAAGAAGAAAAAAGCAUUUAGGUGAAGCAAUGUUGCCAGUCUCAUUUGUUUAUGAGGCUUGUUUUUUUCCUUUAUACAUUUUAAACACUUCUUUUUAUUUCAUUUUGCUUUUUGAGCCUUUCAACUUCAUGUUUACCAUUUUUUUUCAUAUGACAAGAAAGUCUGGAAUCAAGUUCUUACUUUAAAAACAAAAGUCUGGUUCAGAGU